rnacentral:rRNA from 1 species
AUGUCUGCGUUGGCAUUAAGUCAAACACCUGGUGGGCGAGCUCCCGCGCCACCUCGCUCUGCGCUCGCGAGCUCACCUCCGCCGCUUCGCCCCGCGAGGUCCCAGCCCCAGCUCGUGGUGCCCGUCGCGCGCGCCCCACCCCCCGCCUCGCUACUCGUCGACGCCCGUGCUCGCAGCUCCCGCCCUGCCUCGCCGGUCGCGCGCUCGCAGCUCCCGCUCGCGCGCCUGGCGCCCGCCCAGCCUUGCUUGAGUCGCGCGCUCGCAGCUCCUGCCCUGCCUUGCUCCGCGCCCUCGUCGGGGAUGCAGCAGCUCCGGGCUGGCCAGCGGUGGCCGGUCGGCGGCGGCGGUCGCGCCGGGGUGCUUCUCGGUGUACGUGGGGCCGGAGCGGGAGAGGUUCGUGGUGCGCGCCGACCGCGCCAACCACCCGCCGAGCAGGAGUACGGCUAA